CCGGGCGCUGCGCUCGCUGCUUCCUGUACUGGGAACGUUGGCUCCUGUCCUGGUUGGGGGGACGUGCAGGUAGCUGUCGCUCCCGAGGAGGACGGCGCUUGCCCACCUGUCCUUGUUCAUGGAGGGAUAGAGCUGCUCAGCUAAAUAUGGAGAUGAUGAUGAUGGACCUUCCCUACAGGACUGCUGGGAAGAUGAAAUGAGAUACUUGAAAUAUAAAGUGCUUGUCAGUUUCUGGCCCCAUAAUAAACCCUCAAUAAAUGUGAGCCGCACCCGUCUGCUCGAGCUGGCUCCCCACAGGCUUUCUCAGAGCCAAUUUUUUUUU